rfam:Gossypium hirsutum cultivar TM-1 chromosome 20, whole genome shotgun sequence
UAUUAAAAAUUUUAUCCAUUUUGUAUUACUAAAAAUUGGCAUGGCAUGCCAAGUGUAUCUCAUGUUGAUAUAUAGGGACCCGUUUUUAAUAGUAGAAAUGGAUGGAAUUUUUAACA